GCCCAGGUGGCGAAAUAGGUAGACGCAGGGGACUUAAAAUCCCCCGGUAGAAAUACCGUGCCGGUUCGACUCCGGCCCUGGGCACCA
rnacentral:tRNA from 1 species